rnacentral:rRNA from 1 species
CCUACGGGCGGCAGCAGUGGGGAAUAUUGCACAAUGGGGGAAACCCUGAUGCAGCGACGCCGCGUGAGUGAAGAAGUAAUUCGGUAUGUAAAGCUCUAUCAGCAGGGAAGAAAAUGACGGUACCUGAGUAAGAAGCCCCGGCUAACUACGUGCCAGCAGCCGCGGUAAUACGUAGGGGGCAAGCGUUAUCCGGAUUUACUGGGUGUAAAGGGAGCGUAGACGGCAGUGCAAGUCUGGAGUGAAAGGCGGGGGCUCAACCCCCGGACUGCUCUGGAAACUGUACGGCUGGAGUGCAGGAGAGGUAAGUGGAAUUCCUAGUGUAGCGGUGAAAUGCGUAGAUAUUAGGAGGAACACCAGUGGCGAAGGCGACUUACUGGACUGUAACUGACGUUGAGGCUCGAAAGCGUGGGGAGCAAACAGGAUUAGAUACCCCUGUAGUC